GGGCUUUUAGCUCAGUUGGUAGAGCGCUCGCCUUGCACGCGAGAGGUCGGGGGUUCGAAUCCCUCAGAGUCCAC
rnacentral:tRNA from 1 species